GACGAACGCUGGCGGCGUGCCUAAUACAUGCAAGUUGAGCGCUGAAGGUUGGUACUUGUACCGACUGGAUGAGCAGCGAACGGGUGAGUAACGCGUGGGGAAUCUGCCUUUGAGCGGGGGACAACAUUUGGAAACGAAUGCUAAUACCGCAUAAAAACUUUAAACACAAGUUUUAAGUUUGAAAGAUGCAAUUGCAUCACUCAAAGAUGAUCCCGCGUUGUAUUAGCUAGUUGGUGAGGUAAAGGAUCACCAAGGCGAUGAUACAUAGCCGACCUGAGAGGGUGAUCGGCCACAUUGGGACUGAGACACGGCCCGAACUCCGACGGGAGGCAGCAGUAUGGAAUCUUCGGCAAUGGACGAAAGUCUGACCGAGCAACGCCGCGUGAGUGAAGAAGGUUUUCGGAUCGUAAAACUCUGUUGGUAGAGAAGAACGUUGGUGAGAGUGGAAAGCUCAUCAAGUGACGGUAACUACCCAGAAAGGGACGGCUAACUACGUGCCAGCCGCCGCCGUAA
rnacentral:rRNA from 1 species